UACGUAGGGCGCAAGCGUUGUCCGGAAUUAUUGGGCGUAAAGAGCUUGUAGGUGGCUUGUCGCGUCUGCCGUGAAAACCCGAGGCUCAACCUCGGGCGUGCGGUGGGUACGGGCAGGCUAGGGUGUGAUAGGGGAGACUGGAACUCCUGGUGUAGCGGUGAAAUGCGCAGAUAUCAGGAAGAACACCGAUGGCGAAGGCAGGUCUCUGGGCCAUUACUGACACUGAGAAGCGAAAGCAUGGGGAGCGAACAGG
rnacentral:rRNA from 1 species